rnacentral:rRNA from 1 species
ACGCUCGACACCUACGGGAGGCAGCAGUGGGAAUAUUGCACAAUGGGGGAAACCCUGAUGCAGCGACGCCGCGUGAGUGAAGAAGUAUUUCGGUAUGUAAAGCUCUAUCAGCAGGGAAGAAAAUGACGGUACCUGACUAAGAAGCCCCGGCUAACUACGUGUCAGCAGCCGCGGUAAUCUGAGCGGGCUGGCAAGGC